GUGGAGCGUGUCUCUCACCGGCCGCGGCAGUCCGGGGCUCAUAACCUGUUGACGCGCGCAGCCCGCGGGCAGUCCCUGCGGGCCGCGCGGCGCUAACGGGGUGUGGGACCCGGACUGACGCGGCCGGCAUGUGGCAACGUAUCGU
rnacentral:pre_miRNA from 15 species